rnacentral:lncRNA from 1 species
GUCUACGUCACCAAGUUCAUUCAUGUUUGGAAUGAUUGCGUCAGUUUUCUCCUCGGGUGGUUUAGGAUGCUGGAACAUCCGAUAGAGCAGGUAUUCCCAACCUGGGAGUACGACAAAUAAAAAUGUGAUUCACAUUUUAAAAAUGUUUUUAUUUAUUUUUUAUUAAUGCUUCUCAUUUUCAAACAGUCCAUUUAUAUUUUCCAACGGGACGAUACAUUUGGCAUUGCGUUGCAGAGACAGUUGCUGUGGUUCGGUGUGGUGCAGACGUUGGAUUUAUGGAACGAAUGCGUCAAGCUGAAUGCGUUGAGGGCUUGACAGAAAUGGCAUCAGAAGGAGGACGGUCUUGAACUCUCCGAUGGCCUUGUAAGUCCUGUUGGUGUCCAGCUGCCAAAAGAGGGAAUGAAUGGUCAACAACAUAUCAUAAACACACUCUACUAUUGGAUACUACAGCCAUAGGAGAUGGAACUGAUUGGAUACUACAGCCAUAGGAGAUGGAACUGAUUGGAUACUACAGCCAUAGGGGAUGGAACUGAUUGGUUACUACAGCCAUAGGAGAUGGAACUGAUUGGUUACUACAGCCAUAGGGGAUGGAACUGAUUGGUUACUACAGCCAUAGGGGAUGGAACUGAUUGGAUACUACAGCCAUAGGAGAUGGAACUGAUUGGAUACUACAGCCAUAGGGGAUGGAACUGAUUGGAUACUACAGCCAUAGGAGAUGGAACUGAUUGGUUACUACAGCCAUAGGAGAUGGAACUGAUUGGAUACUACAGCCAUAGGAGAUGGAACUGAUUGGUUACUACAGCCAUAGGGGAUGGAACUGAUUGGAUACUACAGCCAUAGGGGAUGGAACUGAUUGGAUACUACAGCCAUAGGAGAUGGAACUGAUUGGAUACUACAGCCAUAGGAGAUGGAACUGAUUGGUUACUACAGCCAUAGGAGAUGGAACUGAUUGGUUACUACAGCCAUAGGAGAUGGAACUGAUUGGAUACUACAGCCAUAGGGGAUGGAACUGAUUGGAUACUACAGCCAUAGGGGAUGGAACUGAUUGGAUACUACAGCCAUAGGAGAUGGAACUGAUUGGUUACUACAGCCAUAGGGGAUGGAACUGAUUGGAUACUACAACCAUAGGAGAUGGAACUGAUUGGAUACUACAACCAUAGGGGAUGGAACUGAUUGGAUACUACAGCCAUAGGAGAUGGAACUGAUUGGAUACUACAGCCAUAGGGGAUGGAACUGAUUGGAUACUACAGCCAUAGGGGAUGGAACUGAUUGUGAAUGCACACAGGUGCAGAUAAGAGGUCAAGCUCAGGUAAAUGUCAACAGUUGAGGAAUCAUUAAAACAGGUCAAUUAGAUCUAGAGAUUAGUUUUGUUUUGAGCUGUGUGCCUUUGCCAUAAAGCACCAUGUUGAGAUGUGUAAG